GAAGUAACGCCACGGUCUCCAGGAAGAUGGGGGAUUUCCUGCUCUGCGGGGUCUCAGAGCCGACCCACAGCUCUCUUACCUCAGGUUUCCUGUGAGCGAAGAUGAAAGGAACUUGAAGAAAAGGUAUUCGUUCGUCCUAACCAAUCCGUAACAUUCGUGAGCUGUCCUUGUGCUGGGGACACCCUGGUGGCUGAGACAGCCCCAGUCUCCAUGCCACGGAGCUUACAGUUCGGUGAGGGACGUAGACGCAUCACGAGAUUCUUUGGGCUUCUCUACAUAGAGAAUCAUGUCAUCUGCAAAUAAGGAGCUGGAGAGGAGGUUACUGAGAAAUUAUGAAUAGUAGGAUUGCAAUUGAGAUGAAGACUAGGACGACGCAGACCAGGCAGACAGAUGCUGUAACAAUUGCUGAGACUGCAAAUGUGAAGGCUUUCCGGGAGGAGUUGGUGGCC